UUUUUUUUUUUUUUAAUUCACAACUUGGUUUUGAUGCCUCGAUUCGUCACAUAUUGGCUGUGUGGCCUUGGGGAAGUUACGGACCCUCUCUGAGCUUUACUUAUUCCAUGCAUGCGGUAGGCAUGACACUCACAGAAAAGGACCAAGUGGGAUACGACAUACAGUGCCCUCUGCCCGGUGCUUGGUGCACGUUUUCCCCUUCCUUAUUCUUCCCAGUCUGACCUUCACCUCUGGAAGGGAUGAGCCGUUUUCUAGGCUCCCACCCUUUGGUUACUCAUCGGCCUCGGUCCUCUGGUUUCUUCUGCUCACACAGGCUCUCCCUGGGUCCAGGCAGGAGCUGCGGGCUGCCAGGCGACACGGGGCAAGCUGACAAUCUCCCCACAGAGCCAGCUUUCAGCAAGCCCCUUUCCACCGUGACGGCCCAGGGGAGCAGCCCCCGGGCCACGCCCGUGGGCGUCACGUUCAGGGCUCGUUUCCCCCCCUUCCUCCGGCCUGGCCUCGCCGGCCCCUUCCGCCGCUGCCAGACAACCCCGCUGCCUCCGUCAGGCCCGGACUCGUCCGGCUGGCUCGCCUUGGUCCCGAGGCUUAUCCAAACAUCUUCAUCGCUUUUCAUAAAUUCAAUCCCUCCUUAUCAGCCGCACCAUCAGGAGGAAGGGCAGGAGGGGGGCUUGUGACUGAAGUGUGGGGAAGAGAAGCUCUAAUUAGCCUCCUUGCUGCGCGGGGUCACCCGCAGUUCAAUCACCCUGGCUUCACAUGUUCGCAAUCACGUAGCGGGAGCCCGGGCCUGGCCCACUCCUCUGCUCCCUGGGUGCAGGGCUGGGCUCCUGCCCCUGUUUGUCCUCUGGGCAGGAAGGCCUGCCAGUUGUAAAGGGAGAUGGGCUGGCUUGAUCCCCUUGGAGCCCCAGAGCUCUGGAAACAGCUCCGUCACCACUGCCCAAUUCGUAGCAGCCUCUCUGAUGGGGCUGCUCUCUGUAUAAAUAGUGUAUAAACUGCUCUCAUAGAACCCUAAGCUUGUUCCUCUGGAGCCAGCUCUGCCUUUGGCGAGCAUCAAAACACCUAUUUCUGGAAUGCAAAAGGCUCUGGCCUGUCUUCUGAUAUGAUCUCCACGAUAAUAAAUAAGGUAGGAAGACUAAUAGACUUGAGUGAGCUCAUCAAGACAGGAUUCUGCCACCCUUUAGCUGGACAACUUUGGAAAAGUUUCCUUGCUUUUUUUUUAAUUAAGAAAAAAAAAAAAGUGAGGAGUUCCAUGGUGGCUCAGCGGUCACCAACCUAAUAUCCAUGAGGACGCGGGUUCGAUCCCUGGCCUCGCUCAUUGGUUUCAGUCACCACUGCGCCACCAAGGGAACUCCAAAAUACUAGUGAUGUUUUUCUGCUAGUUUAACAUGGAAAGGAGGCUGGCCCCAGGACCCAAGGCAGGACAGUUCAUUCUGGUCAAAGACUUAAGCUCUUUUAGGAAAGAGGUUCUCCCCAGCCAGUAGUGCCCCGAGCUCUUUAGGAGUAUUUCAGAACCCCUGGGGUGGAGCUGCAGUUAGAACCAGCCCAGCCUGCACCUGGGCUCCUCCCCAGGGCUCUCAGAUUGUCAUCAAAGCCCUCGGGAUAAAUUCAGAAGCGUGGUUCCCCCUGAAUAAUUGCCCAGUGAUUUCCAAAUGCUCUCUUAACCAUCUAUAAAAAGGCCGUCUCCAUUCCGGAACGCGCACACCCCGGGUCCCUCUGUCUGACAGAUCACGAUGACGGGGCCAGCCAGGAGGCCACCGUCAUGCAGCAUUUUCGCCUCCAAACCUAAAAGGCCUGGGUUCUCUGACCUCCACGGCUUGUCCAGACCACCCACCCUCUGUUUGCAACUCUCCUCCAACCUUGAAACCCGACCCCCUCCUCUGUAGGAACCACCCAUGUUUAAGCAAAUAAAUACCCCAAAGUAACCAGCUCCCUGGUGGUAUUCAAAUAAAUGUCCCAGGAAAGAGUAUGGCGGCGGGAAGGGGCGGUACCCUGGGCCUCCAGUGCAGCUUGCCUGCCUGGAAGCAUCCUUGGGCUGGGUCUCUGCAGAUAUCGGGCCAGUGCUUCUGUGCAAGAUGAGCAAUGCGACACCCUCCUUCUACCCCCCAAACAGGGGAGGGGCUGAAGGGUUCUGUAAGUCACCUUCUGAGGAGGUUGUGGCUGCUGGCUGAGCUGCAGGGAGGGUGGGUGGUGCUCAGUCAGAGAGGCCACCCUCCCAAAGCUGUGCAGAGAUGCCAGGUAAGCUCCCAGUUCCUCAGCCGUAAGCCCUGAAAUCCCUCUGUCGUUUGGGAGGGUGGCUGGGUGGGUGGGUAGGAUGCCCCGGGGAUCAGCUCUCUAUGACUCAGAAACACUUCAAGAGAGCCUGGAGACCAGCCUGCAGUGAAGAGGGCUGCGGGGGAGAAGCAAGGGGGGACCCACGAGUCAAAAAUCUCCCUGCCUCUGACUCAGUGGCAAAAGCCACUGAGUGUCCUUGGUUUCACGGAAUGCCGACGGCCGGGAAUAAAGUCCCCGGCUCUGUCACCGGUUGGCUGGUCUACAGAGUCACCGAUGAAAAGGAUUUUCAAACACAUCUGAGAAAUCAGAGGGAAAAAGGACAAUGUCCCAAUCGCUGCUUUUACAUGAAUCUCCAGGAGUGGCGGCCUCCUCCAUCCUCCCCCAGGGGAGGAAGAGAGGGAGCAGAGGCGUCCUCUGAAGUCGGCCCAGGGGGUUGGGGGAUGAAGGAAAGCGGGGACAAGAUGGGGCUAAAAAGCUGGCCGUGCACCUCUAGUGUGUGUGUGUGUGUGGGGGGGGGUGACCACGUUUCAAAAAUAAACACAAACCCCAAAAUAAACAGUGUUAAUGGAAGUGACUAAUCAAGGGUGUGCUGAACUUGGUGGUUCUUGAUAAGAUACAGGGGGAAAUGCACUUGGAAAAAAUAACAGAUUUCCCGCCCCCCUUUGAUAAAUAAAGCCAUGGGGAGAGGGUGAGCGGGAUUAGGGUUCAAGCUUGGUUCAAACUGGCAGCAGAGGCUGAAAAAAACCCCACAGUUUCUCCAUCCUGACACUACUGACAUGUAGGGCUGGAUAAUUCUUUGUGGCGGGGGGCCUGUCCUGUGUGUGCAUUGUCGGAUGCUUAGCAGCAUCCCUGGCCACCACCCACUCGUGAGAUGCCAAUGGUACCCUCCCCUCUGGCUGUGACAACCAGAAAUAGCUCCAGACAUUGCACAUGGCCCCCGGGGUAGGGGUAAAGGGACAACGUUGAGCCUGGCUGGGAACCAGUGGUUUCCGAUCAGGGGCACAGCUGAGUUUAAAAGUCACCUCUGGGCUCCCGGCAGGGCUCUGAAGGGCCAGAGAGCUGGCCAGCUGGAAAGGAAUGUGGCCUCUCACGCAUGUGACCAAGUGCUGGUCAUCAGUGGCUUCGUGGCACCAGGCCCUCAGCAGGACGCCACCCACCGGCCUCCAGACCCACACGCCCAGCAUCCUGUGGGUUAGGAAGGUCUUAAGAUCUGUGAGCAACUCAGGUACAGAGCUCUGCUGUUUGAAAGUUCUGGAAGAACAGUCGCCAUUGGUCUCAAAGUUGCCUUGCCAUAGUCUCUCAAAGGGGAGGGACUAUGGCCCACAUUGAGGAAGAAUUCUGCAGAGAAGGGACAUCUGGGAGGCCAGUUGGGGUCCACUUGGCUGAGCCGCCCAUCUCACUGGGCCCAAUCGAAACCAAGCAGGGCCCUGUGGGGCUCCUGGGCACACGAGCCAUGCUGGGGCUUCCAUUUCUUGUUUUGAGGGAGUACGCUUCAGCCUCCACGACCUUCCCGAGUUCCAAAGAGCAGGUUCAAACAGUUGCUAAUCAAGGCAGGGAGGGGACAUUCUAGGGAGGAACAUUCAAGAGACAACAGUGCAGCCUUCCUUCCGUAGGGUCCUGGUUCCUCCUCCAGGAAUCCAGAGAGAACCAUGUCUUUUGAGUUCUUCGGCAGAACUCAAACCCACAACACGUGGAAGACCUUAAUGACGUAGUUAGUCUUCAUUCCGGAAAGAGGAAUCGCCAGCUUUGGAGAACAAUGAAAGCUUGCAUCUGCCCUGUUCCUCAUCUGAGGCUCUAUUUUUCACUCCCAAACUAUAAAGUCACCUCCCAAUCUCUCCCAUGGUGGGCACAGUCUUUAAGGCAUUAGCCUGCUGUGGCCCCGUGUGCCUGGCAAAGCCGUGAACGCUAUCUUUCUCUCCUUCACCCCAAACCCUGCCUUGGAGUUUCUAUUCGGCCCCGGUGGACAGAGGCUGAGUUUGGGCCACACAAAGGGAGUUGAAGCAGGGCGGUGGGAGUCACUCCUCAAACAUCACGUUUCUCUUCCUAGACAAAGGCUGAGUAGAGGGCAAGAGAUGGGUGAGGGUUCUUCGAGACACAGAGACCCCAUGGCUGGCCACCCACCACUCUCUCUGCCCACAGUAUUGGCUGCAUUUGACACAGCUGUCCCUUUGGUGGGGGAGGGGAGAACUAGCCAUGACCUGGAAGUCAAGUGUCCAACACCUGCCAUCCCUGCUGUCCCUCCGUGAUGUCUGGGAACCACCUUUAGUCCGGGCUGCCCGUAUUUCCAGAAGAGAAUCACCUCCUAGGUCAUUCCACACCGGGGCAGCCUAGCCAGCUGUGUCUUGUGUCUACACGGCAGCAUACACCGCAGAAGCGGGUAUUUGGUGCACAGGGGCUUUCUGUCAGAGGGACUCUGGUAUUUACAAUGUGGCUUGCCUAUCUCACUUGGCAAAAGAGUUUCGGAUGCUCUCUGCCCCAAGAUGGGCUACAGGGCUGGAGCGGGAGGUGAUGGACGGGACAGAUGGAGAGAGGUGAGGCGAAGGUGACUGGGCUGGGGCCUCCUGCUCUGAGUCUCUGCCUUUCUCUCUCCUGCCCUCCACCCCCGACUCUAGGAGCCACAGCAGCACCAGCCUUCUCCCCGCUGGGCCUGAGCUUUCCUCCUCAGCAAUCUGCUUUCCACACACACACACACACACAAAAGCUCGCGUUCUAAAUAGAGCGGAACUGAGAAUGGGCUGCAGCCUGGAUGAGGUCUUCCCUCCCUGGAGAGCCCAGCAUCCCCCGUGGAGGGCUGGUCCCCCCCCAGCGCCUCUCACUCAAAGCAUUCCUGACCCCGGAGCGCCCAACCCUGACGGCAGGCACGAAGCCGCCACAAAUGGAUUUUGCUUCUGUAGCACUUUGCCCGGGCUGGAACCCUCCCCCUGGCCGGGCUUCCCUUCUCUGGCCUCCACUCCCUGCAGGUACCUUUCGGGCAACCAGGGGACCUUAUUCCAGGCGGGGGCCAGAGGCCCCCCUCCAUCACUGUCACCAUUAAUUUGCUGAGGGAGGUCGGGCGGCUUGAAUGGACCCACCUGAAUCGCAGCAUUCCCCAAACCAGGUCCACCCACAAGGACACAGCCUCUCUCACAGCAUCAGACUGUUGAAUAUUAAUUUUUAGUAUGCUCUCAAGGGAACCUGGGCACAAGGUUGGGGUGAAUCUUUAGACCUUCCUCCUCCUCGGUUCUGGAAAAGUCUAUCAAGGCUCAUCCCAUCAGGCACAGGGCCAGAGGCAUAUUUUUGGAUCCAAGCGAGGCACCCAGUUCUGUGCAGUUCACUCAUUUACACCCACAUCCAGCAUCACUCCCAUGCUGAUCAGGUCUUCCCCCCACCCCCAAUUUUUAGGGCCAUGCUCGAGGCAUAUGGAAGUUCCCAGGCUAGGGGUUGAAUUGAAGCUGUAGCUGCCGGCCUAUGCCAAAGCCACAGCAACGCCCGAUCUAAGCCUUGUCUGCGACCCACGCCACAGUUCACAGCAAUACCAGAUCCUUAACCCACUGAGUGAGGCCAGGGAUCGAACCCCAGUCCUCAUGGAUACCAGUUGGGUUGUUACCCCUGAGCCACAAAGGGGACUCCCCAAUCAGGUCUUUUGAAUGAGAUUCUCACCUCCCCCCCAGAAUAAGAUCCAUACCCAUCAGCCCUUGGAAGACUGGGCUGUGAGAAAGUGCACGCAUUCUAAAAGGGGAAGGGUCUCGCAAUGUCACCAACUCUUGACCCAGGUAAACCCUAGGGACCCUAUGACAGCUCUGGGAUGUCUUUGGGAGAAGGGUGUAGCCACGGCCUUCAGGAAGGCCAUUUGCCAGCUGGGGGCCCCUUGGGAAGCUGUGGUGGGGGUGACAGACCCAGUCCUCCACCCCAGCCUCUCCCAAUCUUAAGGAAUCCGGAGUCAGAGCCAUUCCAUGACUUGUCUGGGAGUCAGCGCCACGCUGCUCUUCACGGCCUCUGUGAAUCCAGCAUCUCCAAGAGCAUCCGUUCAUCCAAACAGGCAUAAGGCGAGGGAUGCGGAAAGGGAAGUGAACUUAAACAGAAGCUGAGGGUUACCCACGCUGACCACUGCCAGCUCGGGGUGUGCCUCCCCCUCCUCCAUCCCAAUAAAGGCCAGAGGGGAAGGGGGAGGAGUUUAAAAUAUGCAAAUGGGUGAGGUCCUGCGGUGCAGCACCAGGGACGCUAUCCAGUCACUUGCGACAGAACAGGAUAGAAGAUAAGAUGAGCAAAAGGGUAUAUGUAUUAUAUUCUUAUAUAUAUAUAUAAAUAUCAUAUAUACAUAUAUAUGACUGGGGCACUUUGCUGUACAGCAGAAAUGGACAGAACAUUGUAAAUCAAGUAUAAUAAAAACAAUUUCAAAUAAAAUAAAAUACGCCAAUAGGCGCCUUCCUGACCCAACACAUUUGGAAACCAGAAUAAUCACUGUUCCAACCUGUUCCGUAUUUUUUUUUUUUAUCUCCAGUGACAGGUAUCUCUGAGCUAGGAAGAAAGCUUUCCUCUCUAGCUCCUUUCUUACAAUCUGGUUCAGAGCACCAAAAAAAAAAAAAAAA
rnacentral:lncRNA from 1 species